ensembl:lncRNA
CGGAGCCGGUACGUCCAGGAUGCAGGGCGCUCACCCCGCAGCACCACCGAGACCCCACCCACACCACUACUCCCCAGGACAGCACCGGGCCCGGACAGAAGCCCCCAGCCAGCAGACACUAAUCUCCAGUGGCGGCACACAGGCAAGUACCAAGGCCUGUGCCCGGAUGAGCCAGAGCCACCCCCCCAGAGAGACCACCCGGCCCCCAUGCCAGUCCCCCAGGCAGCGGAGGGCCCCCAGCCCCCCCAGGGGAGGGAGAGGGACGAGGACGAGCGGCCAGGCAGGAGAGGAGGGAGGAGGAGGGAAGCAGAGCAGGAAGGGACAGGGGAGCGACCGGAGGGCCGACCCACCCCAAACCCCAGGGCCAGCCAGGGCGCCCCAGAAGAGACCAGCCGCCGCCACCCCCAAGGCCCCGGGAGAGCGCACAAACCCAGCAGACCCAGGGCUCGAAGGGAGAGACACCGGGGACACCCACCCCCAGGCAGAGGGGCCCGAGCCACGCCGGCCCCGCAGAGCCAGAGAGCGACCCCAAGAGCAAUAGGAAAAGGACACCAUUAGUGCAUGCACACAGCCUUGAAGUCCAUGGUGCCAUCCUACUUAAAAAGUUACUUCAUGGGUGAUCUGAACUACUGGGAGCAGGCUUGAUUGAACACAGUCUGACUGCUGCAGGAAGGAAGGACCUCCUUCAAACAUCGUGGGUGAAGCAGUCUGUCCCUGAAGGAGCUGCCGGUGAUGGUCCUGUUUCCUGCAGGGGGUGGGAGAUGUCCUCCAUGAUAGACAACAGCUUUGUCAUCAUCCUCCUGUCUACCACCAGCCCAGGACAGAGCUUGCUUUCUUAACCAGUUUCUUUAGUCUCUUCCUGUCUGCAGCCGUGAUGCUGCUGCUCCAGCAGACCAGUCCAUACAGGAUGGCUGAUACCACCACACAACCAUAAAAGGUCCUCAGAAUUGCUCCCUGCACCCCGAAGGACCUCAGUUUCCUGAGCAGUCGGAGUGUAAAGAAUUGAAGCUGUCAGAGGCUUUCUGUGGUGAAGAGGCUGCAGGACAUCAGCUGCUCCAACAGUUAACUCACCCGGUUACGUCUCCAUCCUGACGCUGCUCUGCUGGACCGGAGCUUCUGGACCAGCCGGGUGGACCUUCCUUCACAGAUCUUCCCGGUGGGAGUGAUUCUGAGUCGGCCUUGGUUGACUGCAAACUCCUUAAAAUGGACACAUGAGAGGAAAUCGUGGACAAAUCAAUACAACAGCUUGUUCGGUUUGUCCUGUUCUU